rnacentral:rRNA from 1 species
CAGCGACGCCGCGUGAGGGAUGACGGCCUUCGGGUUGUAAACCUCUUUCAGUAGGGAAGAAGCGAAAGUGACGGUACCUGCAGAAGAAGCACCGGCUAACUACGUGCCAGCAGCCGCGGUAAUACGUAGGGUGCGAGCGUUAUCCGGAAUUAUUGGGCGUAAAGAGCUCGUAGGCGGUUUGUCGCGUCUGCCGUGAAAGUCCGGGGCUUAACUCCGGAUCUGCGGUGGGUACGGGCAGACUAGAGUGCAGUAGGGGAGACUGGAAUUCCUGGUGUAGCGGUGGAAUGCGCAGAUAUCAGGAGGAACACCGAUGGCGAAGGCAGGUCUCUGGGCUGUAACUGACGCUGAGGAGCGAAAGCAUGGGGAGCGAACAGGAUUAGAUACCCUGGUAGUCCAUGCCGUAAACGUUGGGCACUAGGUGUGGGGGCCAUUCCACGGUUUCCGCGCCGCAGCUAACGCAUUAAGUGCCCCGCCUGGGGAGUACGGCCGCAAGGCUAAAACUCAAAGGAAUUGACGGGGGCCCGCACAAGCGGCGGAGCAUGCGGAUUAAUUCGAUGCAACGCGAAGAACCUUACCAAGGCUUGACAUGUUCUCGUUCGCCGUAGAGAUACGGUUUCCCCUUUGGGGCGGGUUCACAGGUGGUGCAUGGUUGUCGUCAGCUCGUGUCGUGAGAUGUUGGGUUAAGUCCCGCAACGAGCGCAACCCCUGUUCUAUGUUGCCAGCACGUGAUGGUGGGGACUCAUGGGAGACUGCCGGGGUCAACUCGGAGGAAGGUGGGGACGACGUCAAAUCAUCAUGCCCCUUAUGUCUUGGGCUUCACGCAUGCUACAAUGGCCGGUACAAUGGGUUGCGAUAC